CCUACGGGGAGCAGCAGUGGGGAAUAUUGGACAAUGGGCGAAAGCCUGAUCCAGCCAUGCCGCGUGUGUGAAGAAGGCCUUCGGGUUGUAAAGCACUUUCAGUGGGGAAGAAAGCCUUGGGGCUAAUACCCUCGAGGAAGGACAUCACCCACAGAAGAAGCACCGGCUAACUCCGUGCCAGCAGCCGCGGUAAUACGGAGGGUGCGAGCGUUAAUCGGAAUUACUGGGCGUAAAGCGCGCGUAGGCGGUCUGAUAAGCCGGUUGUGAAAGCCCCGGGCUCAACCUGGGAACGGCAUCCGGAACUGUCAGGCUAGGGUGCAGGAGAGGAAGGUAGAAUUCCCGGUGUAGCGGUGAAAUGCGUAGAGAUCGGGAGGAAUACCAGUGGCGAAGGCGGCCUUCUGGACUGACACUGACGCUGAGGUGCGAAAGCGUGGGUAGCAAACAGGAUUAGAUACCCUAGAGUC
rnacentral:rRNA from 1 species